GGUGGAAGGAGGCGUGCCGAUCUCGAAAGAUGCGCAUGCGUUUAAGGGAGUAGACAUUAUUCAGUCUGAUCAUUACGGCUUUCUUAUUUUUUUCUUUAUCAACGUGUUUAAUAUUCACAUUUUCGGCGUGAAAUAAUGACCGAGACAUAUUUCUUUUUAUAUAGUUAAACAAUUUGAUCUUUCAAGUAUGCAAACAACAUAAAGUGAAAUUACUUCUGAUAGGAGAAGAUCUUUAAUGUACGAUCGUUAAACACCGGUAAAUCCAAAUGAAAAAUUGGUAGACAUGUGUGUGUGUGUGCGUAAGGAUGAAUCAUCGAUUUGCUAUUAAAGAAGGAUCAAUUAAGGAUAUUAUUAAUGUAAAGGUAUCUUUAUAGUAUCUAUGGAAAUAUUCAUACUGUAUGAUUAAGUUUAUCUAUUGAAGAAACUUUGUAAUAUGAAAUUAAUUGAAAGUGACAAUACUGUAAAAGCAUAUUAAUGAUAAUGUUGAAUCUCAUUGAAUGAUUAAUUAUUUUUAAGGGAUACUUUUGAAAGAAAAAACACAUAAUGAUAGUACUUCUAUGCGAUUUAACAGAAUCAUUUGAUACGUUCAUAAUGUUGUUGAAAGAUCAUUAUAAAAAUGAGCUCACUUUGGAAUUGGACAAAUUAAUAGAUAAAAGAGUUUUGAGAAAGAAUCAUUUAAAGUAUAACAUGAAAAAAUCCGACGAUAAGACCUUAUAUAUAUUAAGAAAUCAAGCACAAUAUAUAAUCAGGUGUAAGGAAAUAAAGGAUAAAUUCUACAGUAAUUUAGUCGUCAUAUAUUACUUUCAUAAUAAUUUAGGACACAUAAAGAGGUUAUGUCGAAUGUAUAAUAAAUGGAAGGAGAAAAGUUGAAAGAAAAAAGAUCAGUUAAGUUAUAUAAUAUUAUUAUAAUAUAUGUGUGUCUUCAUGAGCAUAAAUAUCGUUCAAACGAUCCAGAUUGAUUCAGGAACAUAUAUCAGUUGAAAGAUACAAAUAAUGCUUUAUUAGCAAUAACAAGACAACAUUCUAUAAAUUGUUAACACAUGUGAUACAGAAAGUUAGGAUAUAAGGACUACGAUAAGACUACGAUAAGGACAAUUCAGGCAUUGGUAUUCAAGACCAUAAUUAAAAGGAUUACUAUGAAGAACCAAAUGAUCAAGGAGAUCUGCUACGGUACAUGUCUGAGAAGGAUAAUUAUCAAGAAAGCUUUUCCACAAAAAUCUGUAAGUAAGUUUGAAUCCAUACUAGAGUAUAGAUGUUUGCGAAAACAUUGGAAACAAUGAGAUCAAAUCAAAACCUAACAUUGAUCGAUGAUUAUGGUAGAUAUAGAUUAUGGUAGAUCUUAAGACUUUUAGAUUGGACAAAGGUACAGAGUAUAUCAAUAAAGGUUUAAAAGAUUUCUUUGAGAAGAAAUUGUAGCCAAAAGAAAAAUAUUGUUCUCUCUUGGAAUUGGUUUAUAAAUUGAUGCCAAACUUAAGGAAAAAAUAUUGGGGAGAGGAGAGGAGAGACUAUCAAUUUUUCCAACUAUUUGCAGAACAUUCAUUAAAUCUACAGGAAUAAUAUCUCAAUGGAAAAAUGGAUUAGAAUGAAAUGAUCUCAAAAAACAUUAUAAAGGAUAUUGUCUCUUGGAUAUGAACAAAAUAAUUGUAAAUCUUGAUCUGAAAUUUAUGGAUUCGAUGGCUUAAAUACCAAGGAAGAUACUUUAAUAAAGGAUAACAAUGAAAUAACAAUAAAUCUUCUUAAUGCUAUUCCAUCCUAUAUAGAAAUGAAUGAUUAAGAAAAAGCCAAAGACCACAUUGAAGAUAAAAAAGAAGACUAUAUCAAAGAUGAAAUUGUGUGACAUUAAAGAAGAAGUAAUAUUUACAUUAGAAGACAUGGAUGAUCUUGAAUAAUGACUGGACUAGUUAGGAGCAAACUACAAAAAUUAUAUAUCAAGAAUACAGACAGUUCAGUUCAGACAAUUUUGCAGGAUACACUCAUACCAUGAAUUGAUAAAUGGUUUAAUAUAUCUACCAAUUGUGCGUACACCUGACAUAUUACGCAGUAAGUUAUUUAAAUCAAUAUUAAUUGGUACAGGAGAUCACAUUGGAAAGGAGCCAAAAGAAUACUUAGAUAUCUUAAAGGCAUUGAUCAUUAUUUCAUAUCUUAUCAAGCAGGUUCUAUUUCAUGGGAAUUAAGAAAGCAAUGGACUGUUGCUUUAUCAACUAAGGAGACAGAAUACAUGGUGAUUACAAGUGCUAUUAAAGAGGAACUUUUAAGGAACUGGGAUUAGUUAUCAAACUUGAUGUCACUAUUUAUGAUGAUGAUUCAAGAGCAUUGAAAUUGUCAAGGAAUCUAAUAUGCCAUGGGAAAUUCAGGUUAUAGUAUCUAUACACGAACAAUAUGGUUGCCCAAGUUUUAAUCAAGGCAUUAAACAUUUCAAAACAUAUCAAGUGUUUUAAAAGUGUUAGUUAAUUCAAUUGUCAUUUUAAUAUUGAUUUUAAUAAAAAAUUAAAAUAUA